GUGAGUGCAAGCGAUACACCAAUCUGCGCCUGUCGGAAAGUGACAACCUGGUGAGGUGUGACUAUUGUGACCACGUCCCAAAUGCACACGGAAAAAUAUGUGAUCUCGAAACGAAAAAUGCAGCCGAGGCAAAGGUGCAAUGCAAUGUGCCAGGCACCGUUGUUCGAGGCCUCAGUGUCACAUGAAACUGUGGAAGCUUGCACAUCUAGUCUCCUCAGUGCAAUAUGAGAGGACUGUCCCAGUUGGUGCCUCCAUAGAAAAUGAAUCGGCCUGAAUGCCUGUGCAAGAAUCACAACCUGGCUGCUCUAAAGACUCCGCACCGUAGUCCCAUGUGCAAGAGCCCCCACUUGACAGCCCAGUGGUUGCCAUGGACAAAGAGAUCCGCGAUACUGAAUGCGGCCAAGCAGUACAAGUUUUUACAUGGACAGUUAACACGAAGUUAUUGACGACAUGCAUGGCUGAAACACGGUGAUAUGAUUUUAAAAAUUCCUGUGUUAUGAUGCAAGUGAUAGUAUUCUGUUGAAUUUUCAGAUCUAGUCAUGUGCCAGCAAGGCCUGCUGUACUUCUGGUGUAUUCUAUGUUGUAUUUUCAAAUAAAGAUGUUGCAUUCUGAAGUUAACCUUA